AACGAACGCUGGCGGCAUGCCUAACACAUGCAAGUCGAACGAGACCUUCGGGUCUAGUGGCGCACGGGUGCGUAACGCGUGGGAACCUGCCCUUAGGUUCGGAAUAACUCCCCGAAAGGGGUGCUAAUACCGGAUAAUGUCUUCGGACCAAAGAUUUAUCGCCUUUGGAUGGGCCCGCGUUGGAUUAGCUAGUUGGUAGGGUAAAAGCCUACCAAGGCGACGAUCCAUAGCUGGUCGGAGAGGAUGAUCAGCCACACUGGGACUGAGACACGGCCCAGACCGGGCGGCGGGGGAGGGGGGGGGAGGAUUGUAGGCGGGGGGAUAGUGUGGCAAAGCCAUGUGCCGGGUGAGGGGAAGGGGGUAGGGAGGCAAAUCGGGUUGUGCCGAGACGAGAAUGACGGUACCGGGAGAAGAAGCACCGGCGAACUACGUG
rnacentral:rRNA from 1 species